GGCUGGCCCAGGGAGCACAGGUGCAAGCAAUUCACCGGAGCUCCCUGGGCUCACUUAAGGGCUAGCCUCCAAAAGGAGAAUGUUUCCUGGAUGAAGGUCUUUUCCUGACAAGGAGUGUUUUGUAGCCAGAGAUCCUCUUCACCAGUUGGGUACGUGAAGAAUGUAGAGUCAAACCACCCAGUGCUGUACCAGCUUCACAGAGCAUUAACAGGAUAGCAAAUGGAGCAUCUCAUCACCUGGGGUUUUCAGUCUGAGCAAUAAAACAUCUGAAGUACUUCAAGCAAAUAUAGUUCUAAAGGUUUGAAGGAAGAAGCCCACAACCUUGAUUCCAGCUGCCUGCUAAAUAUGGUGUCCUUGACUUCCUCAUCGCCCUGCUCACAAGUCACACCAGCAGAGGAAGAUACCUCUGCCCUGGUCAUAUGGAUCAGCAUGACUUGAUUUUGUUUCUAAGAUCUUCCUUUAUGCAAUCUUGAUGUUGUUCCUUCCGAAUAGCUGACUCCACUGUGAAAGCACAUUUUUAUUUCAAGAUAUCCCACAGAGAGCUAAUGUUUUAGCUUGGAGAAGCAAGCAGAACCAAGCGUGUGAGAGUUAUUACUCUUCUCCUGAAACAUUUGCCUUUAUUGCUGUUGCUGCUGAAAUGGCUGCCACAUUCCUCCGCCAGAGGUGGUCCAGAACCAUUGGCUGCCAUGCUAUUUAGUGCGCUGCUUUAAGAAAUACUGUAAGAUUGUAGACAUGACAUUUUGCUCCUACAAGUGCUCACCAUGUAUGCCAGUACUGGAUAAGCUUAGAAAACACAGAAGAGUUGGCAUUUUGUGAAACAUCCCUUCCAGCCAUUUUUCUUCCAGGCUAGGCAUUCCAAAUAUAUUGGGUCAUAUCUCUCUCUGCUGUAGUGGGACAUGACUUCUCGUGCCAGUCAUUAAGCAAAGUCAUUGAGACACUUAAAGGGAGGGAAAACCAAGAAAUUUCAUUGCUAAAGAGAGAUAAGUUGAAGAAGGAUUAAGAAGAAAUUUGCCCAGGUGAGUAGAGCUGUUGGAAAGCUGAGGAACUGGCCCUUCAGAAAGGGCUGACUGCUUUUUAUCCACCUGAACAGAAUAGGACUGUGCUAGUGGAAGCUCCACCUGACAGAUCCUCCUGAAGGAGCUCCACUGUGUGUAGACACUAGAAGCAAUAUCCAACAGGUCUUGAAAAUCAAAUAUAUCUUCUUUCUCAAGUAGCUUGUCUUGUACUCCUUUGUAUUCUGCCUCCCAAUGGGUGGAGGCUUGUUGCACUGUGGAUGCGGAGAGGGGAUAAGUUUUUUUGUUGUCUCUCUGGGAAUAAAGACAGCCUGCUUCUGGGAAGGUCUUCUGAGGUGUCACGCACCACUCACCUCUCACACUAGACGAGCCUGCUGCUGAACACAGCUUCCUGGAGGACUUGUUACCAGCUGCCUUCCCAUCUGGGAUCUGGUCCAUGCUCACUCAUGCUUCCAGGAGGUAUGAUGGCUUAUGCCAUUCCCUUGGUGUCUAUCUUUUUAGACAAAGUCCACGCUGGCAAAAGGUUCUGAGCUGGCAGCCCUGGAAAAGAAAGC